UACGGGGGGGGCAAGCGUUGUUCGGAAUUACUGGGCGUAAAGCGUGCGCAGGCGGUCUGUUAAGACCGAUGUGAAAUCCCCGGGCUUAACCUGGGAACUGCAUUGGCGACUGGCAGGCUUUGAGUGUGGCAGAGGGAGGUAGAAUUCCACGUGUAGCAGUGAAAUGCGUAGAUAUGUGGAGGAACACCGAUGGCGAAGGCAGCCCCCUGGGUCAAGACUGACGCUCAUGCACGAAAGCGUGGGGAGCAAACAGG
rnacentral:rRNA from 1 species